rnacentral:rRNA from 1 species
GCAGCAGUAGGGAUCUUCCACAAUGGACGCAAGUCUGAUGGAGCAACGCCGCGUGAGUGAAGAAGGGUUUCGGCUCGUAAAGCUCUGUUGUUAAAGAAGAACGUGGGUAAGAGUAACUGUUUACCCAGUGACGGUAUUUAACCAGAAAGCCACGGCUAACUACGUGCCAGCAGCCGCGGUAAUACGUAGGUGGCAAGCGUUAUCCGGAUUUAUUGGGCGUAAAGCGAGCGCAGGCGGUCUUUUAAGUCUAAUGUGAAAGCCUUCGGCUCAACCGAAGAAGUGCAUUGGAAACUGGGAGACUUGAGUGCAGAAGAGGACAGUGGAACUCCAUGUGUAGCGGUGAAAUGCGUAGAUAUAUGGAAGAACACCAGUGGCGAAGGCGGCUGUCUGGUCUGCAACUGACGCUGAGGCUCGAAAGCAUGGGUAGCGAACAGGAUUAGAUACCCUGGUAGUCCAUGCCGUAAACGAUGAUUACUAAGUGUUGGAGGGUUUCCGCCCUUCAGUGCUGCAGCUAACGCAUUAAGUAAUCCGCCUGGGGAGUACGACCGCAAGGUUGAAACUCAAAAGAAUUGACGGGGGCCCGCACAAGCGGUGGAGCAUGUGGUUUAAUUCGAAGCUACGCGAAGAACCUUACCAGGUCUUGACAUCUUCUGACAGUCUAAGAGAUUAGAGGUUCCCUUCGGGGACAGAAUGACAGGUGGUGCAUGGGUUGUCGUCAGCUCGUGUCGUGAGAUGUUGGGUUAAGUCCCGCAACGAGCGCAACCCUUAUUACUAGUUGCCAGCAUUAAGUUGGGCACUCUAGUGAGACUGCCG